GCAUCCUUGGUGCAGUGGCAGCAUGCUCUUUAUUUAUAACAAUGGAGCUGGAUAUAAAUCUGGGAAGGUCCAGGGUUCGAAUCCCUGAGGAUGCG